rnacentral:tRNA from 1 species
GUUAGGGUGGCAGAUCCCGGCCAAUGCAAAAGGCCUAAGCCCUUUACACAGAGGUUCAAAUCCUCUCCCUAACU